GAUGAACGCUGGCGGCGUGCCUAAUACAUGCGAGUCGAGCGAACGGACGAGAAGCUUGCUUCUCUGAUGUUAGCGGCGGACGGGUGAGUAACACGUGGAUAACCUACCUAUAAGACUGGGAUAACUUCGGGAAACCGGAGCUAAUACCGGAUAAUAUUUUGAACCGCAUGGUUCAAAAGUGAAAGACGGUCUUGCUGUCACUUAUAGAUGGAUCCGCGCUGCAUUAGCUAGUUGGUAAGGUAACGGCUUACCAAGGCAACGAUGCAUAGCCGACCUGAGAGGGUGAUCGGCCACACUGGAACUGAGACACGGUCCAGACUCCUACGGGAGGCAGCAGUAGGGAAUCUUCCGCAAUGGGCGAAAGCCUGACGGAGCAACGCCGCGUGAGUGAUGAAGGUCUUCGGAUCGUAAAACUUUGUUAUUAGGGAAGAACAUAUGUGUAAGUAACUGUGCACAUCUUGACGGUACCUAAUCAGAAAGCCACGGCUAACUACGUG
rnacentral:rRNA from 1 species